UCUCUGAUUUAGGUCUUGCCUCUUGAUUCCUGCCUUGAGUUCCUGCUCUGACUUAGCACAGUGUUGAACUGUGAUAUGGGACUUGUAAAGUGAAGCAGACUUUUUAUCCACAAGUUAAUUUUGAAAUCUUGCCACGUGGCCACAGGAAUGGUUUGAGGCAUGAUCUGCAGUCGGAAAAAACAUGCUGAGUUACCAACUUGCCUGAUCAGCUGCGGAUCAUGGUGCCUACGGACAGCACAUGAUUUUGUAAUGAUAGACCAUGUUAGCAAGAAGUUUGGAGGCCCCUGCAACAGAGAUGCAUUCCUUAUUUAGAAGCUCAUAGAUUCUGCAUUAUUGAGGCAACAACCCACUCCCAGAAGCUGCAAUCUGCUGCACCCCCAGCCAUGGUUCCCUGAAGAAAAGAAUAGGCCCGCCAAGAGAUAACAACCAAACAUAUGAAACCAGAUAAAACAAGACAAGGUAAAAACCCCUCAUAUCAAGGCUGGACAAGGCAAAUUGAUAGGAGGAAAAGAGUCCCAAGAGCAAGCAAAAGAAUCAGAGAAAUUAGUUGGGCAUUGGUGGUGCAUGCCUUUAAUCCCAGCACUCAGGAGACAGAGGCAGGCUGAUCUCUGUGAGUUCAAGACCAGCCUGGUGGUCUACAAGAGCCAGUUGUAGGACAGCCUCCAAAGUCACACAGAAACCCUGUCUCAAAAACCCAGAAAAAAAAAAAAAGAAUCAGAGACAUACCUGCUCUCAUCUUUAGGAGUCUCAUUAGAAACACCACAAUAUUGGAAUGAAAAAAAUAAAUUAUUAAAAAAAGAAAAAACCCACCAAGCUCACAGGCUUGUAGCAUGUUGAUUCCAUUCUUGUAUAACACCUCUACUUUUGCAGUUCUUGUCAUACUAUCAAUAGUCUCUCAUCUGGUGUUUUUAUGUC
rnacentral:lncRNA from 1 species